CAAACUAUCAUCUAUUUCGUUCACAGACUAUAACCAAGUUCCGACCGCGCACUCGUACAGGCCUGGGUCUCACUCGCCGCAAUCCCCGAGCACCACGGCCAGCCCCACGAAAAGCAGCACUAGCCCCCCCUGGCAAUGAUGAUGAUGAUGAUGAAAACCUUUACGCCAAUGUUCCGAGACGGGGGGUCACGGUGAAGGUGACCAAUCCACAAUACGUCCAAAAACAGUAAGUAUGGAUGAAGUCAUAAUUUAUACAUGGUUUGAAUUUGGGAUGAUGUCAUAGUUUAUAAAUGUGCUACAUGAUAUACAGGGUGUAUCAAAAUAAACGCAAUUCAUCUUUUGUGCUUAAUAACUUUCGAAAUACUAUUUCUAGUUAAACGCUUUUAGGCUUACUUCAAAGCCUGUUCUUUUCUCUUUCAAACAAACUAUUAUCCUUGUCUCCAAUGCUAGUAAUAAUUGCACAGGGAAAGAUUUAGUAAAACCUAUCAUUUUAGCGUUUAAUUAUGCAAGUUUACUAUGUUAUUGUUUAGUCGGUUUAAAUAUUAGAAUUUUCUUCUUUAAACUUUAAUGUUGUCGUCACUACAUCUGGAAAACCACGUAAGAACAAAUUAAAAGUAUUUUAAAAGAGACCAGGUUGUUUGAAAAUCCUAAAUGAAUGCUAAAAAUCGUCAAAACAUUCUGGUGUCAUCGAAUUGCGAUGUAAUUAUGUAAACAGAAAUUAUAGCAAGUUGAUGUCAGUCAGCUUAGAUAAUCCAAGCCAAAAUUAUAUCGCAUUUGAAGUUUCAAACUGAGUUAAAAAUAGUGGAAGAAAAGCCGUAAACUUAUUGUUACAAUCCAUUUAAUAAAAUGCAACAUUUUUUUGUUUUAAUGAAAAAAUCAGUUAUUUUCAUGAGAACGAUUUGUUAUUCCAUCUCAAUUUUUUUAAUCUCCAGUCGCAAUAACGUAAAGUAUUAUUACCCGCGAACCAAUGAGUCAAAUUUAAGAAACAACCCACUGUUAGAAAGCUGAAUGGCUACGCUUUAAAAUGAAUGUAAACUUUAACGUUUUCGUCUAUUAUUUGUUUAGCAAUUUACAUUUCAGUCGAGGAUUGCGCUUUUUUGAUACACCCUGUAGUGCUCAACGAAACAGGGGCGGAUCUAGCCUCAUCUGCAAGGAGGGGUGCAGGUUUUCCAUGGGGUGGUGUAUGAGGGAGCCUUACUGUCCACUCUCCUCUGCUGUCUGCAACGCUACUAUCCCAACAUUACCAUUAUUUGAGAUGGCCAAAUCUGCAUGUUCGCCGCUCUGUUACGUUUUUCAUAAAGUUUAUAUCGGCUUGUUAUCAAGCAUGCGUGACUGGACAGUUGCUGUAGCACAGUGCACGCGUAAAAAUUGAGAAAAUCAACAACUUGUUCCAGGUUGAUAUCAACAGGCGUGAACAAGGUUGUGCGGCCCACUAUGAACAGUAUUGUCAACAUGUUGUUACAGCAUUGUUCAACUGUAACAACUUGGAACAACAUGGUUGAGUCAUGGUUCACAACUUGUUCAUAGUUGGCCGCACAACAUUGCUCACGCCUGUCGAUAUCAACUUGGAACAACCUGUGCGUUUUUAGCCGUGUACAGUAAAUUUGUUUGUUCAAGUACAGUACAUUUGAAAAUAUGGCUGUAUAACAACCUCGACAUGUUUACAUAUUUAACCAUGAUAUUUAACUAAAGUAUUCUGAGUAUUUUCUCGUGAGCUCACAGAUCAAUUUAAUCGACACGCGCUAACAGUAGAAGCUCCGCUAAUCGCCAUUUGAAAAGCAGAAAAUGUAUGGUCAGGUAGAUUUUUGAGGGGGUGCUAGACACCACUAGGUGUGCCUGUGGGGUGCGCACCCCCUCCCCCCCCCCCACGGUAGAUCUGCGCCUGUAGUGAUACCGAGCUAUAGCAACUCACCGGAUGGUUUGUUAAAAUUAAUAAUUUCGAGUUCAUUUCCUUUGUAGACUUGAUGAUUUGUAAACAACAACGUACUGUCCAGGGUGACUUUGUCUUUUAUAUAUCGUAUAUCUAGAAGAAACAUUAACGCUUGUAAUUUUGUACUUCAAAGUUGAUUGAUCAGGGGCAAAGAUACUAGACUCGUUUAUCGGUCUUGCGAUUUAUCUGGUUGACUUCAAACACAUACUUUCACGAUGGUUUUCGAAAAUGAAGUGGUACACGUCAUCUGACGACAUCACCGAAUUAGGAACGGUUCGGUAUGAGAAAUUUCCGGUAUCGGUAUACCGAAAAAAUUAUACCGAUAUUAUCGGUAUACCGGUUUUCCUUUGAUAAUUAUAAAGGAAAAUUCUUUAAUGGAAGUUUGAAGGAAAUUUUGAGUAAUUCUAAAAGGGAAAACGAUCAUUUCGAAGCUGUUUCGAACAUGUUUCCAACGACAUGCACGUGCUCAGUGUAAAAUCUGAAGUGGAAAUCUUAAAAAAAUCUGAAGUGGAAAUUCUAAAUCAUUGCAGUAGAAAGUUCUUGCCAUUCAGUAGUAAAAUAAAGGUUAUGGUUUCGCCAUAUACCGUAUUUACUCGAUUGAGCGCCGCCCCCGAAUGAGCGCCGCAUUUGAGAUCAAAUUUUCUUAAAGAGCGCCGCCCCCGAAUGAGCGCCGCACUAAUUGUUUUCAAAUGCGGCGCUUAAUCGGAUCCUUUCAAUGCGACGAAUUUACGUCUUCUGAAGUCGAGGAGGCAUAUCCAACAAUGGUUACGGUGCAGCAGCUGGACUCGGAUCAUGAAGAGGACAGUGACAUUGAUAUUUUGUAAACUUGUAGACAGUGUAAAAGCUUUCCGCCAUCAAAAUGGGGACAUUUAGUGACCAAGACAUUUAAAACUUGUUUAUUUUAUUGUCAAAAGUUCUUGUUAUAAUUCACAAAUAAAAUAUUUUUUAAAGAGCGCCGCCCCCGAUUGAGCGCCGCCCCCGAAUGAGCGCCGCAUCUGAAUCUCUAAAAAUUUAAAGAGCGCCGCGGCGCUCGAACGAGUAAAUACGGUAGUUGGUAAAUUUAACACGGUAUACCGAAAAAUUCCGGUAUAUCCGAAAUUUCGGUAUAUCGGUACGGUUGAAUAUCCGGUAUCGAUAUACACCGAUAUUGAUUUAAUACCGAUAUUUUCGGUAUAUCGGUAUACCGAACAGUCCUACACCGAAUGAAAAAUAUGUCUUUAUUUAAGAGGCAAUUUUUUCAGCGCGUACCUGCGAUGAAAAGUGUUCAAAACCUAAAAUNNNNNNNNNNNNNNNNNNNNCCCGAUUGAGCGCCGCCCCCGAAUGAGCGCCGCAUUUGAGAUCAAAUUUUCUUAAAGAGCGCCGCCCCCGAAUGAGCGCCGCACUAAUUGUUUUCAAAUGCGGCGCUUAAUCGGAUCCUUUCAAUGCGACGAAUUUACGUCUUCUGAAGUCGAGGAGGCAUAUCCAACAAUGGUUACGAUGCAGCAGCUGGACUCGGAUCAUGAAGAGGACAGUGACAUUGAUAUUUUGUAAACUUGUAGACAGUGUAAAAGCUUUCCGCCAUCAAAAUGGGGACAUUUAGUGACCAAGACAUUUAAAACUUGUUUAUUUUAUUGUCAAAAGUUCUUGUUAUAAUUCACAAAUAAAAUAUUUUUUAAAGAGCGCCGCCCCCGAUUGAGCGCCGCCCCCGAAUGAGCGCCGCAUCUGAAUCUCUAAAAAUUUAAAGAGCGCCGCGGCGCUCGAACGAGUAAAUACGGUAGUUGGUAAAUUUAACACGGUAUACCGAAAAAUUCCGGUAUAUCCGAAAUUUCGGUAUAUCGGUACGGUUGAAUAUCCGGUAUCGAUAUACACCGAUAUUGAUUUAAUACCGAUAUUUUCGGUAUAUCGGUAUACCGAACAGUCCUACACCGAAUGAAAAAUAUGUCUUUAUUUAAGAGGCAAUUUUUUCAGCGCGUACCUGCGAUGAAAAGUGUUCAAAACCUAAAAUCUUUUUGGCGUACCUUUCAAAAUUGUUUUGGUUUAGCUUUAUUCUCUAGUUUAUACAGUUAGCUGGCUUUUUAAAUGUAUCUGGAGGUUGAGGUUGAAAAACAUAAAAUAAUAGUAAAAUAAUGUCAAUGAAUGAUUUCAGCUAUGGAUGAAAUUUUGAUCUAAACAAGAAGAACGAAUCCAUUACCAUUGGUAAUGACCAUAUCCGGAAAGAGCAUCUUAAAAUGAGUAAAAUUGCAAAGUUUGGUUGCUAAAUGUUGUACAAUGAGUAAAAUAUAGCCCUGUGAAGUUCGCAAAUUUUGUACAUAUUUGCAUUACGCGCGGGAAAAAGAAUUAUUUUUGAAAGUGGUUAUUUUUACCGCGCGUAAUACAAAUAUAUACAAAAUUUGCGAACUUCACAAGGGUUACAUUUUCUUCAUUUUACAACAUUUAGCAAACAAUCUUUGCAGUUUUACUCAUUCUAAGACGCUCUUUCUAGCUGUGGUGUAGGAUUUCGUUCUUCUUUCCUUGAUCAAAAUUUAGUCUAGUCAAAAUCACGAUGAAUAAUAUUUAAUGAAAUUGAGACAAAGGAUUUAUGUAGGGUGAGGUACAGUUCAACCAAGGGCGGCGCUUGCACUAUUUUAUUCGGGGGUGUUUGUGAAAUUUUGCCCAGUCAUUUCCCCUGCGUAUAAAACAGAAUUUUCUUUGUCAUUAAAUUUUACCGGAAUUCUUGGCAAACUCUUAACUUUUCAGACGUUUUACUCCAAUAUUGUAUUUUCGUUGCUUCCUAUCAAAUUCAUGUUUUGCUAACUGGGAAACAAAGGCCUUCUAUUUUGUCUCUUUGAAUUCUGCCAGGCUUCUAGACCAUCGUAUCUUUCACAGACUAACGCCCGUAUUCUAAAAGCUCACUCGCACUGAAAGAGUGAAGGUUCAAUCUGAGCUUCUCUCGAGUGUCAAUACUGUUUUUGAAUACCUGGAGGGUUAGUGCAUGUCGUACCUUACUAUGUGACUACUCACUCUCCAGCUGUUCAAGGCAAGCUCGGAUUGAAUCUUCACUCUUUGAGUGUGAGUGUGCUUUUAGAAUACAGGCGUAAGACUGAGCAGAACCCGAACUCAUCCGAUAAAUCGCAGCCGGCACAUACUAUGAUUUCGUAUGACUUUUUGUGAAGUGUCAGUUUUAUUAAAUGCUAAAUAUUAUAUUGUUACACUGCCCUGUCAACCAUUAAAAUACAUUGUUGUAACCUUUCAUACAUUUGUAAUAUCUGCACUUUUAUAUGGAGUAAAAUAUUUCUUGGUUCAU
rnacentral:lncRNA from 1 species